rnacentral:sRNA from 2 species
CGCGCCCUCUUAGGGGAGUAAUCUUCUUUGUACAUGCAAAUCUGUUACUACAACGUUUUGUACUGCAAAGAUUCUUUGUCAACAUAAUUGGGCCUCAAGCUCGUGGCAAAGAAGUUCUAGUUCGAUGACAAUCAACAGAAUUGGUGAGACUUAAGACAAUGACUUGGCUCAGGUGGGCUCAGGUAUAUUGUCUUUUGUUGUAUUGCCCACCUAGGAU